rnacentral:rRNA from 1 species
AGAGUGAACGCUGGCGGUAGGCCUAACACAUGCAAGUCGAACGGCAGCACAGUGGUAGCAAUACCAUGGGUGGCGAGUGGCGGACGGGUGAGGAAUACAUCGGAAUCUACCUUUUCGUGGGGGAUAACGUAGGGAAACUUACGCUAAUACCGCAUACGCCCUUCGGGGGAAAGCCGGGGAUCGCAAGACCUGGCGCGGAUAGAUGAGCCGAUGUCGGAUUAGCUAGUUGGUGAGGUAAUGGCUCACCAAGGCGACGAUCCGUAGCUGGUCUGAGAGGAUGAUCAGCCACACUGGAACUGAGACACGGUCCAGACUCCUACGGGGAGCAGCAGUGGGGAAUAUUGGACAAGU